GCAGCAACCAUGAGUCACUCUGACAGCUUCACCUACAACAUGGUCACCAUGGAGAUGAUUCGUGUCUUUGGGUGUUUCCUCUUGAUUUGUGCAAUCCACAGUGAUCACUUAAACAUGUCUUUUGUGGGAAUCGGUUCUGGUUCUUUCACCGAUUUCGGACAGACACUCUUCCAUGUCCUGACCUGUGUGGAGCGCUACCUGGCUGUGGUUCAUCCCAUCAUCUACCUGAGCCUGAGGAAAGAGAGAGGGAUCAGAAUCAGAAACAUCAGCAUCAGCUGUGUCUGGCUGAUUUGCUUUGUAACAACAGGUCCAGGGGAACAGGGUGGGAGCAGGAAGAGGGUUGACCAAUCAAAGCAGAGGGCGUUCUACAGCAUUAUGGCCAUACUGGGAGUGCUGGUGUUGAGGUUUGCAUGGAAUCUGGUUUGGGGUGUACUCGUGGUGAUGGGAAAAGGUGAUGAAUGUGUGGUAAUAACUAGUGGUAUCUGGUUUAGUCUCCCCAGCAGUCUGGUGUUACCUCUGCUGUUCCUACAUAGAGCAGAAAAAUUAGUCUGUUGUAGGAAAAACAUCCAGUAAGAAGAUGGGUGAGCUUAAAAUUAAAAUCACUAAAGAUGCCACAACAUAAAAAAUUUAUAGGAAAGAUAACAGGUUGUUAAAUUAUUACAACAAAUGCUGACUGAUUUGAUUUCUCUUCAUUGUUUUGCCGCUUAAGGACAGAAAAACCAAACAAAAAGCUGACAGACAUAUUUCACAUUUAAGUGUAUUUCAAAUUUACUCUAACUUUCUCCGUUUUAGUCUUCACCUUUUCUUUAUAAAAAAAAUUUCUUUAAAUUCUACAUGUUGGUCUUUUUUUCCCAGCUUGUUUGUGUGUCAACUGUCUGCUGAGGCUUCAGAUGAAGCUGAUGAGAGCACUGAUCUGAACCAAGCAGGGAAUGAUCUGUAAAGACGAGACAAAACAAAGCUAAGCAAGACUUAACAUGUGGACUGAGCUGCAGAGUUCAGUGACAGUCCUGUCACUUAAUUGUGUUACUGAGAUUGCCAUCAUUAGAAGACUAAUGAAAGAAGUUGUUGUGUGUCCUUCUAACGAUGUUUCUCAGCUGAGAUUGAAAGGACAGGUCACAAUAAAAACAAGAAGACUGAGGUUUUUAGCUUCAUGCUUUGUGUUAACAAUCUUCUGUCUGAUUUGUUUGUUAACCUUCAACUCCCUGAUCCCCACAUACAUCUGUACAUAUUAAAUGCAAUCUUAAUUAUCAAUUG
ensembl:lncRNA